AUGUAUUUGGUUUUGAUGUUAUAUUUGUUUUUCUCGUGGGAUUUUGUUUGAUGCUUGGUCCGUUUCUGUGUGUGUUACAUUGUAGUGUUGUCUCGUUGUUCUCCUCUUAUAUUUAAUGCGUUUCCCUCAGUUUUAGUUUGUUACCCCGAUUUUGUUUUUUGUCCAUGGAUUUAUGAGUUUGAACAGUGGUAUACUACUGUUGCCUUUAUUUAUUC
rnacentral:lncRNA from 1 species